rnacentral:rRNA from 1 species
UACAGAGGGUGCAAGCGUUGUUCGGAAUUAUUGGGCGUAAAGCGCGUGUAGGCGGCUUUGCAAGUCGGGUAUGAAAGCCCUCAGCUCAACUGAGGAAGGGCGCCCGAAACUGCAGAGCUUGAGUGCCGGAGAGGGUGGCGGAAUUCCCCAAGUAGAGGUGAAAUUCGUAGAUAUCUGGAGGAACACCGGUGGCGAAGGCGGCAUCCUGGACCAACACUGACACUGAGGAGCGAAAGCCAGGGGAGCAAACGGG